UCUGGCUUAGGACGAACGCUGGCGGCGUGCCUAAUACGAUAGCAAGUAGGACGCGUGAGGACUGGUGCUUGCACUGGUCUAAGGAGUUGCGAACGGGUGAGUAACGCGUAGGUAACCUACCUCAUAGCGGGGGAUAACUAUUGGAAACGAUAGCUAAUACCGCAUGACAAUAGGGUACACAUGUACCCUAUUUAAAAGGGGCAAAUGCUUCACUAUGAGAUGGACCUGCGUUGUAUUAGCUAGUUGGUAAGGUAACGGCUUACCAAGGCGACGAUACAUAGCCGACCUGAGAGGGUGAUCGGCCACACUGGGACUGAGACACGGCCCAGACUCCUACGGGAGGCAGCAGUAGGGAAUCUUCGGCAAUGGGGGGAACCCUGACCGAGCAACGCCGCGUGAAGUGAAGAAGGUUUUCGGAUCGUAAAGCUCUGUUGUUAGAGAAGAACGGUAAUGGGAGUGGAAAAUCCAUUACGUGACGGUAACUAACCAGAAAGGGACGGCUAACUACGUGCCAGCAGCAGC
rnacentral:rRNA from 1 species